CACGUAGGGGGCAAGCGUUGUCCGGAUUUAUUGGGCGUAAAGAGCUCGUAGGCGGCUUAGUAAGUCGGGUGUGAAACCUCCAGGCUCAACCUGGAGACGCCACCCGAUACUGCUGUGACUAGAGUCCGGUAGGGGAGCGUGGAAUUCCUGGUGUAGCGGUGAAAUGCGCAGAUAUCAGGAGGAACACCAGCGGCGAAGGCGGCGCUCUGGGCCGGUACUGACGCUGAGGAGCGAAAGCGUGGGGAGCAAACAGG
rnacentral:rRNA from 1 species